AGCAGGUCUCAAGUGAGGAAUCUGCAGAUAUCAAAAGGCAACGUAUCAGAAUCAAAACUAUAAUCACAAAUAAAAAAGAAAAGAAAAGACAAGACAAGAAAAAAAGCUUCCAAAUAUCAUAGAGUAUACUAAACUCCACCCCAGACUUAAAGAUUCAAAUAUAAAAUACUAAGCCCAAAGAUUUCCAUCUUCUAGCAUUCUAAAUUAAUUUGGCUUCUUCACAAGAAGAUCCAACAAUUUAGAUUUACGUGCAUCUUUGUACAAAAUCAACCAAACAGUCCAAAAUACUCAAAUCCCUUAAAACACCAGACUUGAGGUUGUCCACCAUACAAUGGCAAGCAUAACAAAGGUGCAAAUCCACUGGCCUUUAAUUGCAGCUUUAAUUUUUUGUGGUUGGAGAAUUUGGUUCAUAUAACAAUCUUGCAACAAUAGUUAAAAGUCCCUAGGCCAAUAACUUCUAAAGAUUGCCUCCUCCCACAAAGCAAUCUCGCAUUAUCUCUCUUUAAUAAAACAAAAAAGUUAUUUCCCAAAACUGUUUGACAUUAUUUGGGAUGUAAGUCCGUAAUGCCUGCUAAUAAUACUAGAAGAAAGGCAUGCAAUUCAAAACAAACGAGUAGCGUGCUUUGAUAUUCUAAUAUCACCCUAUAACACAUAAUAUCACUUAGGUAACUGCAUUUUGAUACUGCAAUGUUAAUAUUAGCAUCCAAAAUCCCAUUUGCUAUUCAUCAUAUUUCAUUUCCUUGUAAUGUUUAAAGAUAACACACAAAUCUGAUAUAAUCAGUAUUUAAUUUUUUUCCCCCUGAUAACACUCCAGAAAAGAAGUUGAUUGAUUAGGGAACAUUAAGUUGAUCAUUUGGUACACAUUGCAGGAUGCAAAAAUGAAUUCAAUACCCAUAGCUCAGUCCUGAUCUUUUUCAAAAUUCAAAUACAUAUAAGCCCAAACGAUAUUAGCACCUGUUUACUCUUUAUCAGGCAAAGUUUAAACAAGCAUUGAUGACAUUCUAAAUACCCUCAAUUUCUACGCCCAAAAGAAAAGUAUAGCAUAACAUACCCCUUGAAUCCUCUUGCCAG
rnacentral:misc_RNA from 1 species